ACUCGAGUCUUUGACGCAAGUUGCGCCCAAAGCCAUUAGGUUGAGGGCACGCCUGCCUGGGUGUCACACAUCGUUACCCCCCACUUAAAAUGUGGAAUGGGGUGAAAGUUGACUUCCCAUGAGCUAGUUCCUCGUGGUUGGUUCAAAAGUAAGUUCACGGUGGAGUUCCCCGCGAUAAAUGGUGGAUGAGCAAUGCUCGAGACCAAUGCGUGUGGGUUGACUUCAACGUAUCAGACUUGUUGACCCUAUGUGUCCUCUUUGUAAAUUGAGGGUGCCAUUAGCGAGACCUCAGGUCAGGCGGGGUUACCCGCUGAGUUUAAGCAUAUCAAUAAGCGGAGGAAAAGAAACUAACAAGGAUUCCCUUAGUAACGGCGAGCGAACCGGGAAGAGCCCACCAUGAGAAUCGAUUGCCUUCGGCGUUCGAAUUGUAGUUAG
rnacentral:rRNA from 1 species